rnacentral:rRNA from 1 species
CCCUUAGAUGUUCUGGGCCGCACGCGCGCUACACUGAUGCAUUCAACGAGUUUCUUCCUGGUCCGAGAGGAAUGGGUAACCUUUUGAAAGUGCAUCGUGAUAGGGAUAGACUAUUGCAAUUAUUGGUCUUCAACGAGGAAUUCCUAGUAGACGUAGUUCAUCAGACUGCAUCGAUUACGUCCCUGCCCUUUGUACACACCGCCCGUCGCUCCUACCGAUUGAAUGCUCAGGUGCGCCAUUCGGACUUUCAUCAUGCUGGUUUCCAGUUUUGAUGAAGGAAAGUCUUGCGAACCUUAUCAUUUAGAGGAAGGAGAAGUCGUAACA